GUAAAUUAGAGGGAGGCGAGGGCCUGCGGCGCCAGCGCGGGACAGGGCGGCCUGGGGCUCGCCGCUGGUCAGGCCAGGUUAGCCCAAGGGAGACCAAAGACUCCACCUUGAGCAUCGCCCUUUGGAGGCGGGCAGAGUCCGGCCGCAGGCCACAAAGCGAUCCCCACCCGAAGGACUCCACAAGGACAGUCCUUUCCUUGCUCACCGCCGACAAAGUGGUUGGGGCAGGAAGGCGAGAAGGCACAGAUCAUUCAUGGGGAUGUAUAACCGAAACCAGUCCUCUCCACCGCCUGGGGAUCUUCACUUUCGCAGUCUACGACUGCCUGUGACUCCAGAAAGACAAACUGCAGAUUGGCCAAGGUACAUCUCAGAUCAGAUCCCUCUGGGAAAAGCGCGGGAAUGCUUGGCUCUAGUAGUUAGGAGCUCUGGUGAGAGCGCCCCUAGUGCCAUUUUCCCAUCCCUGCCCUUGACAGUCCCCUUUGGUCUAAAUUCACGGUUCUAGACAGUCAAAGUCUACCUGCUGGGUGUCCACUCUCAAGCCAUAGGUUUUCAAUCCUAAAAGGGAUUAGGACCUUGGCUCAAAAUGUGGUCAACGCAGUGUUCAAAUUAGGAGGGCAGCUGGGAGAUGGCAGCAGGGGAUGAAAGUAUGACUCCUACUUCGUCCGCAACUGUGGGUCUGGCACCUCUUGACUUGCCAGUAUGCUGGCAAACAACCCAUCUCUCUUGGAGAAUCCACACUUCGUUUCUUCUAGGUCCAGCCUAAAUGUUACCUCCUCCAGGGAGCCUUUCCAGAUACUGCUUCUCCUCUCUCCCCCAACUCCCUCCCACAAAUGAAGUUUUCUCUUCUGAAUUCCUUGCUGGUACUGUCACUUAUAUUCUUUUGGGUAGAUCUCUGGGCAUGCAUAUGUCACCUCCUGUGACUGUGGGUUUCUUGACAACCUAAUCAAUGCAUUGAACAAAGGAGAUGUUUAGACAACCCAUAUAAAAUGAAUAAGAGAAAUAGGGUGAAUACCGUCUACCCCAAUUGCAAUCAGAUUAGUUUCCUUUAUUUUGAAAACGAUUAGAACUAGUAGAGGAGUUAGAUGUGGCCCACUAGGGAACAAAUUUUCAUCUCCAAGCCGUCCUCUGGCUCGAUCGGGUCUGCACUGGGUCUGCAUCAACUUGCGCUGGCUCAGAGGGAGGCUCAGCCCCAGCCUGGCCUUCCUGGUGCCCACUCCCAACAUCCUGAGCAGGGCCGACUCUAGGCACCCCACGAUUAGCUGAGUGAUCUAGGGCAAGGACCUAGGCGUCUCUAAGUCUUAGUUUCCCCAUCUGAACAAUGUGGAUAAUGACACGUACCUGGGGUGGGCAGGCUAGAGUAAAUGGGAAAAUCAAAGCGCCAGCCAGAGCGGGUCGCACUGUUAGUUCCUGUAUUUUCUCCUCCUGCCUCUGGUUUCUUCCGUUCCGUUCUAGCUGCCUGAAGACCCAGCCCGACAGCGAUGCCUGUCAGCCCGCGUCGCCCACCAGGGCAGCUGCUCUCCCAACUCGCAUGGGGGGCACCACCCCGCCUCGGUGCCCUAGAGCUGAGCGCAGCCGCGGCUCCACGGGGAUCGCCAGGGCCUCAGCCCUCGCGGCCGGCGGCGCGGGAGUGUUGCGGGGCAGGGACCAGAGCGCGAUCAGAGCGGCCACCCCCGAUUUAGGUCGCCAGCUUUCCAGUCACUGCGAUGGCCACUGGGGCGCCCCUUCCAUCCUGGUUAAAUUCUCAUUGUGAUCCCCAGCCCUCUUCUCGGUUCCCCACACCCAGGAGGCCGGUUCUCCGCCGCUCAGGCUGGGAGAGGUCACCGCUCCGGGCAGGGUGGACCCCCAGCUCCGUCUCGGAGGACCUUUCGCCGGAGGCGAGCAGGAAGGGGUUAACCAUGAGCCUCCCACCCUCACCUCCCAGACCCUGGUGCCGGGCUAAGGCCUCCGCUUCCCUCCUGAGGUCUCAUUAGGAAACCCUCACCGCUAUUUUCAACAUUUCCUCAAUCAAGUGCCUUUAAAUAGAGCUGCACAAACAGAUUGGCGGCAAAAGCGUAGAUCUUGUCACGAUUGAGACCAAUCCAGUAUUUCAGCCUUGUUUGCUUUGCAAUUACGGGUUGGCUUGUGGCUACGGUGCCACCGGGGCAAAUCUGCAGCCGCUCGCUUUCUCCUCUGCGCUCCGGGCGGGUGGAGGAAGCGACCCGCGGAGUCACUGCAGGGAGGAGAGGGGGACGCGCGCGGGGGGAGGCGGCGGAGGGCGGAGGAGACUCGCUUGCACCCCAGGGCCGCGGGCACGCAGAGCUGUGUUGAAGGACAUACUUUUCAGGUUCCUGACAGUCACUGAGCUAUACGCAAUAAUAAAGUGCGUGAUUCGCGUGUG
rnacentral:lncRNA from 1 species